rnacentral:lncRNA from 10 species
GGCUCCCGGAAGCGGAGCUGCGCGUGCGCGCCCACUGCGUCCCACUAGGAGGGGGCAGGGACGGGACGUGGGAAAAUGACUACGCGUCACUCGUGAUGUCGCGCAUCCGAUAGGCCCUUUUCAGAUGGCAAAAGGCCUGAGGGUGAAUCUGGGCGAGCUGGUUGAGUCCAUGCGUUUGUGCUUCCUCUCAGUCCACUUUCGCUUACGAUGGGGCGACUCUUGUCCAUCGUCACCUCACCGGGAAACUUUUCCUGCCGGGCCAGUUAAUGGUCCCCUGUACCAUCCCCAUCCUGAGUGACUACUAAGCAGCCGCAGCGACUCGGGGUUGCUCCGUGACCACGUUACUCAGUUAACCUUCUUGUUCCCUGGAGAGGCGGAGCUGAAUGGCCCGGACGGGGUUUCUCCAUGUUUCCCAGGCUGGUCUCAAACUCCUGGACUCAAGCAAUCUGCCCACCUUGCCUCCCAAAAUGCUCCUCCAAAAAAGGAGUGUGCCGCCACACCCAGCCUGAGCAACUUUUGUUUUUAAGGUGUCAGCCAUCAGACCCCAAGUCUCCAGCUGUGUUGAGUUAUCUGCAGGCCCUGAUUGUGUGUGCCAAGGGUUUACCUCUGUUGCCUAGGCUGGAAUACAGUGGCGUGGUCAUAGCUCACUGCAUCCUCGAACUACUGAGCUUAAGCAGUUCUCCGCCUCAGCCUCCCAAGUAGCUGGAACUGCAAGAGCAUGCCACUGUGCCCAGGUAAUUUUUUUUACUGUUUUGUAGAGACAGGGUCUUGCUAUGUUGUCCAGGCUGGUCUUGAACUCCUGGGCUCACAUGAUUCUCCUGACUCAGCCUCCCAAAGUGUUGGGAUAACAGGUGUGAGCCACCCUAUCUGGCUUAAUUGG